CAGCAGCCGCGGGAAUACGUAGGGUGCAAGCGUUAAUCGGAAUUACUGGGCGUAAAGCGUGCGCAGGCGGUCCGCUAAGACAGAUGUGAAAUCCCCGGGCUUAACCUGGGAACUGCAUUUGUGACUGGCGGGCUAGAGUAUGGCAGAGGGGGGUAGAAUUCCACGUGUAGCAGUGAAAUGCGUAGAUAUGCGGAGGAACACCGAUGGCGAAGGCAGCCCCCUGGGCCAAUACUGACGCUCAUGCACGAAAGCGUGGGGAGCAAACAGGAUUAGAUACCCCCGUAGUCCCUGUCUCUUAUAC
rnacentral:rRNA from 1 species